UACGAAGGGGGCUAGCGUUGCUCGGAAUCACUGGGCGUAAAGCGCACGUAGGCGGAUCUUUAAGUCAGAGGUGAAAUCCCAAGGCUCAACCUUGGAACUGCCUUUGAUACUGGGGAUCUCUAGUCCGGAAGAGGUUGGUGGAACUCCGAGUGUAGAGGUGAAAUUCGUAGAUAUUCGGAAGAACACCAGUGGCGAAGGCGGCCAACUGGUCCGGUACUGACGCUGAGGUGCGAAAGCGUGGGGAGCAAACAGG
rnacentral:rRNA from 1 species